GUGAGCGUAGACCCAAAGUUAAAAAAAAGUGGACUCUAGAACCGAGAUAGGGGGAAGAGACGGGGGGUGUGCAACUCGUCCAACCAAUCAACAGUGUCCUUCCUCACAGUUAGGGGGUUGAUCACUUCUUUAACUGUUGUAGGUUCUGUGAGUGUCACAAGUUGAGGAACUCCUUGGUGAAAUGCAUCUCCCAAGAUAAAUUAGGACUUCCUAAAAAACACCUGUAAAAUAGAGAAAGGGGGGAAAAACUUUUGGAAUCUUCCAUAAAACACCUGAAAACAA